CCUACGGGAGGCAGCAGUGGGGAAUUUUGGACAAUGGGCGCAAGCCUGAUCCAGCAAUGCCGCGUGAGUGAAGAAGGCCUUCGGGUUGUAAAGCUCUUUUGUCAGGGAAGAAACGGUGGUUCCUAAUACGAACUACUAAUGACGGUACCUGAAGAAUAAGCACCGGCUAACUACGUGCCAGCAGCCGCGGUAAUACGUAGGGUGCAAGCGUUAAUCGGAAUUACUGGGCGUAAAGCGUGCGCAGGCGGUUAUAUAAGUCAGAUGUGAAAUCCCCGGGCUCAACCUGGGAACUGCAUUUGAGACUGUAUGGCUAGAGUGUGUCAGAGGGGGGUAGAAUUCCACGUGUAGCAGUGAAAUGCGUGGAUAUGUGGAGGAAUACCGAUGGCGAAGGCAGCCCCCUGGGAUAACACUGACGCUCAUGCACGAAAGCGUGGGGAGCAAACAGGAUUAGAUACCCUGGUAGUCCACGCCCUAAACGAUGUCUACUAGUUGUCGGGACUUAAUUGUCUUGGUAACGCAGCUAACGCGUGAAGUAGACCGCCUGGGGAUACGGUCGCAAGAUUAAAACUCAAAGGAAUUGACGGCUGAGACGNGCGAGACGACGACGAGGAGGAGG
rnacentral:rRNA from 1 species